GCGCCCGUAGCUCAGCUGGAUAGAGUGUUUGGCUACGAACCAAAAGGUCGGGGGUUCGAAUCCCUCCGGGCGCG
rnacentral:tRNA from 1 species